GUAUCAGGCCAAUCAAAAUCUUGUUUUGAUGGUUGUUUUGUUGGUAGCCUUAGUAACGCUGGUAAGGCAAGUUAUCGUGCCGAUUGUUGUGAUUUGUAUGGUCAUUCAGCUUUGGGCACCUAUGCUUACAAACAGAUUAUUUUUCGCUAGUCAUGGAUGAAAUUUCACCACGUAAUUCGCCAAGUCGUCCUAGUGCAAAUAGAACGGACAUUAAUCAGACAUUAAAUUUAGUUUUGGAACAAUUGAAAAGUCAGAAAGAAGAGCUUUCGUCUUUGAGAGACGACGUUAAAGGGACUUCAUUAUCUGUGUCAUCAGAAGUGAAAAAGAUUAAAGACAAAGAGUUGUCGUGGAGAAAGGAGGGCAACAAGAUUCAAUAUAACUUUAACACGGACAUUGAAGAUUCAGUCGUGCAAGCCAAGUGGGCUAUCACAAACAACAAAUCUGACUACGCUCUGGAGGUGUUAGAGGAAACUGCUGGUAAAUUGCACAAACGUAAAAAACUUAUCCGAAUUGCCGAUACGUCAGAAGGGGGCUGGGAAACGGUUCGACAAUACCAGGCGAAUCCUGUAGCCAGCGACAGUGACGAUGAAUCUAAGAUUUCCAAGGCGGAAAACCGUGCUCUCCGCAAACGCAAGCGAUUUCAAUCGAAAAAAUCGCCGAACGACGCAACUGGGAAACGCACAUUAUUUCCCAGGCCUACUUCUACUGUUGGGAGUAUUGGGAGCGUUCCAUUUCCUCAAUGGGGUAUGCAGCCAUCAACGUCAGGUAUCUUUCCGGGAGUCAACGGUUCUCUCGGGACGUCUAAUUUUCGUCCCUACACAAGGAAGACGUUUGGAAGUUGCUUCGCCUGCGGAGACUUCACGCACUACAGAAAAGAUUGUCCCUACAUGUCAGGUUCCUUCAACAAGCAGAGUCAAUCAGCCAUCGAUGUCACCCAGAACAGAAAAUGAGUCAUCAGUUUUGACAGAUGAGUAUUCUAUUUUUAGAUGUAAUUGUUAUGAUUUACACGGUGACAGUUUUACGCAUGAAUAUUUUGAGUAUGAACAGGGUCAAAAAGCAAUAAUUGUUAAAGAUAGGUUAAAACAGUGUUAUGAUUUUUGGCAUAGGAUUGGUGCUAAUGAUUUUAUACUGGAUACAAUCAAAAUGUUUCUCGGACGAAAUAGAAGAUUUACCAGAUGUUUUGGUCGAUAAGGUGACCUGGAUCCCAGAACUACUGAAGGAUGCUCGUGCCGACAGUACCACCAAAUGUUACAAUCGAGGUUUUAUUCGGUGGAGGAAAUGGGCCUUGAGUAAUUCUUUGGGAGAAAAGGACAUCUUUCCGGCCAAGCCGUUUAUUUUUGGUAUAUAUUUGUGUUUUAUCGUUCAGUCUUCAAAUUCAUUCAGUGCUGUAUCAAAAUCAUAUUAUAGUGUUAAAUGGAUGCAUGAUUUAUAUGGCUUGACAUCGCCAACUGAUUCAUCGUUAGUAAAAAACAUAUUAGAAGCUGCUAAACGAAAGCUUUCUAAGAAAAUUGUGAAGAAAGAACCAGUGACUCCUGUUAUGUUGCUUAGAAUGUUCAAUAGUCUUUAUCAGGAAAACAAUAUCAAGAAUCAGAGAAUUAUUUGCGCAUGUUUGUUAGCAUACGCAGGGUUUUUGAGAAGUGAAGAAUUACUUAAGAUUAGACGUUCCGAUAUAGUAUUCCAUUCCACAUAUAUCAAUAUAUUUAUUGAAUCAAGCAAAACUGACGUUUAUAGAGAUGGAAAUUGGGUAACAAUUUCUUGCACAGGUACUAUGUUGUGUCCUGUUGUAAAUUUACAGCGAUAUUUAACAUGGGCGAAUAUUGACUGUGAUUCUGACAUUUACAUAUUUUGUGGAAUGUCAAAAUGCAAAAAUGGAUAUAAGUUAAGGGAUAUGAAUAAACCCAUUUCGUAUACAACUUUGAGAGAACUGUUUAUUGAAGCGUUUAAAUAUCAUGUUCCGGAUAUUUCUAAAUUCGGACUUCACAGCCUGCGCUCCGGGGGUGCAACUGCAGCCGCGAAUAACGGCAUUAAGGACAGACUUUUUAAGAGACAUGGAAGGUGGCGUAGUGAAAACGCCAAAGAUGGUUAUAUUAAAGACUGUUUAUCUGAAAGACUUUCUGUUUCUCAGAAUUUGGGUUUAUAAACUUUGAAUUAGUUUUCAAGCACAUGGUAUUAUUUUGUAACUUAUAGUUUCCCGUUCUUUGAUUCAUCGUGCCCAAGUGCUCAUUACAUAUUAUACAAUAUAUGAAGCA
rnacentral:misc_RNA from 1 species